UACGGAGGGAGCUAGCGUUGUUCGGAAUUACUGGGCGUAAAGCGCACGUAGGCGGCUUUGUAAGUUAGAGGUGAAAGCCCGGGGCUCAACCCCGGAAUUGCCUUUUAAGACUGCAUCGCUUGAAUCCAGGAGAGGUGAGUGGAAUUCCGAGUGUAGAGGUGAAAUUCGUAGAUAUUCGGAAGAACACCAGUGGCGAAGGCGGCUCACUGGACUGGUAUUGACGCUGAGGUGCGAAAGCGUGGGGAGCAAACAGG
rnacentral:rRNA from 1 species